AAGGCUGUUGUGUAACAAGCUGGACCUCGGCUUCACAGGUUGUACUGACAUUAGUCACUAGAUGACUAGUGGCAGCCGAACAUCUGGCGACGAGCAGCUGCUAGCUCCUCCGCGUGGUAGAUGACCUUUAGCCUUAAAGCCAAAACACUCUCACUUCAGUCAUUCGAUUUUUCCUAAUUAUCAGUUGCUAAAAAAAGGAGGCGUGCACACAGAGAGUUCAGACGGUCCAAAUGUCGAUCUGGCAGGUUUGGACGCUUCUUUAUUUAAAAUUGGGUAACUUGAUUACUGAUUGGGUAAAUGAUAGAUAAGCUGGCAGGAGCCAUUUGCCACGUUUUCACAUUGUGUAACAUCAUCACUUUUAAAAAGCAGAUUUCUCAAUUUCUCAGUGAGUUUGGGAUGAACGUUCCUCUCUGUAUGCAAUCGGGCUGACUGUGUCCAAAUGAACAGAAGCACAUUCACCACCGCUGCCUUGUGCCGUGGCCUUUUAACAUCUGCUGCAGACUGAGCGACCUUUGCACCGCGUGGAGACGAGCUGCUCGACUCCCACACGCCGUUCCCAACGACAUGGAAGGAAAUCACAAUAGGAGGCGACAUGUGGAUGUGUGGACCAGGAAGUGGAAUAAUAUUUGUAUUAAUGUUCAGAAAUAAGGUGUUUAUUUAGUUUACGUCUGGACAUCUUCAGUGUCUUUGAAUCAAUUUCUGUCUUAACCCCAGUUUCUCGAACUCCGUCAUCUUUCCAUAAGCACAAACCGUGGCUGGAACCCUGACAAAAAAAUCCCCAUACUUGCCUGAAAUAGGAAAUUAGGUCUAUUACAACUGCCUCAGUGGCUACACACAGAAAAAUAUCUCUUGCCUUGGAGAUAAAAAAAACUAGGCCAAGACAGUUUUUCAUUUGCUUCUGAACGGGGGGAAAAAUACACGCCUCAAUAUUUUAUUUGUGCAGCGUUGGUUUCUCUGACUCUCCAUGAAGAAACAGACACGCGUGCACGCCUGCACCAUCUCUCACACGGUGCCUGGGAGAGACAGGGGGCGGAGGUGUCGAGACCAAACGAGAUAUGAGGAAAUGAAAGGUGGAGGUUAACGUAAUCAGAUUUAGGCCCACCAGCUGCCUGUGCUCACGCCACACGUGUUCAAAAUUACAUUUGUGAUCAAUCUGCACUCGACUUCACACGCACCGCCCCGUAACUAAACCCACCGGAGCCUCGGCGUUAACCUGAUUUCAUCCAGACGGCACAUUAACGCGGUGCAUCUCCACCUUCGCCUGGUGAAGGACGCGCGCCUUAAGAACCUGAGAGGUUUUACAUACAUUAGAGCUGAAAGCAGCGGAGACGUGAUCCUGGGAGAACAGCACGUCACUCAAGUGUAUUGUCUGUGAAUGGAUGUGUGGUGUCUUUCUCCACUACUCAAUACCCUGUGGAUUUUCUCCGCAUUCGUCUGCUAAAGAUAUGACUGGCUGCCAGGAAGGAGGCUCUUUGGAGGGGGAUGGGAAGCAGCUUUUGAGAAGCGUGUUGCACUGAAAACACAUUUCUGGGGCUUCUACAGCUUCUAGCUGCCAGCGUUGAAUUUACGUUUGUAUUUAUUCACUUAUGUGUCUUUGAUUAUGGAAAGUCAGCCAGUGAGCGCAUGGAAAUCCAUCAGUGGUUUUCCGGGUGCUUUGGGAAUAUCAAAGUCAUAUUGUGCGUCCAUGAGUCCAAAUCUGUUCCUGGAAGUCGUUGUUUUGGCCAAGCAGCGAUUCACUUCCAUGAACUGUGAUUUGGACCUGGUUCUGGUUGUCGUUUCGCUGCCAGGAGCAGCUGCCAUUUCUUCAUAAAACCUUCCUGCUAACCAUAUGAAUCCAAAAGCCUGACGGUGUUUUCUUUUUUUUUUUGUUGCCCUGAGGUUGACGCAAAGCACAAAAUUCAACACGUUUUUACCAAAUAGAAAAAAAAAGUUAAUUACACAGAUUGCUCCAUUAAAGAGGCCGAGCGGUUAGAUGGAGGAGGCAGAGAGGAGGGAGACAUCACCCAUUACCUCUCCACCAUUACUCUCAGUGACUGUGGAGCUGAUGAAUGAAGGGGGCAUGAGAGCGGUUUCAUUAUAGGCAGCGGUAAUGGUGAUGCCAGCUGGAUAAGAAGAGAGAGGGAAGAUAAAAAGCUGUGUGGAAACAACAACCAGGAGCUUUUGCUUCAGCUUCAAUAGUCUUUAAACCUUAUAUAAAGCACCGUGCGCAUAAAGCUGCUGGAUUUGUUUUUCCCCUGCGUCUCACAAUAACACGACCAUGAUCCACUUUCCAGUAAGUCGAGCAAGUUUCCCUAAGCAAAUAGGACAUUGUUGUUUUUGUAGUGGCAUUGUUUCCCAGUUCCCAUAAUCUCUGGGCACCCGCCCCACCUGUUAUAAGAGGAUGAGUGUCAGCCACCAUGAAGAAUAAUAAUGCUGCCUUUCACAAGGACAUCUGGGUAAAUCAUGAGCUUUCUUUUGAAUGGGUUUGUGGAGGAGAUGGGGGGUGAAUUACAAAAGGUGACUCCAACGCGUGCUCAUCAAAUCUCUCUACUCGUGGCUGGAGCCAAUAACAGUAUGUUAUGACAGGCCACUGCUCAUAUGGAGGCUUUCCAAGGAAUCUUGUGUGCUGAAAUGAUGGUUAGGCAGGACAGUGUUCAAUCUGCCAUCCUGUCGCCUGGUGCUUUUUAUCCCCUGCUUGAAAGUUGUUUAUCCAUAAUGAAAUGAGAAUUGAAAAAUUUGUAUAUCGAUAAUAGAGAUCAACACAUCCUAAAACAGCUGUUUUGGUGAUUCUGUAAACAUCCAAUCAAACUUUCUGUCACAUUCACUAGCAGCAAAGCUUCCCCAGGGACCCAAAGCUCGGGCACCAGGACCAAUUAGAGUGACGGACAGGAAGUAGGAGCAACAGGAAGUUCAGCAGUAUAACAAGGUUUCCACAGCAGAAAACUGAAGGACACAAAUGUGACGACUUGUUCCAAUCUGGGGAAAAAAAAGUUCUACUGCACACAAGAAAAGCAGAAGAAGAAGUAAGAAAUCACUCUGAAAACACAACUGUCAAAAAUCUGCAGAAAUGCUGCGAGCCGGGAUCUGAAGGAAGAAACAAUGAGCUCCCGCUGUGGAGCGGAGCCUGGCUUUUUACGGGGCCUGUAAUGAAGCGGCUCUGGCUCCCUCAGCCCGGAUAAACCCGGCUCGCUGGGCAACGGAGGCGUGAGGAGAGACUCCCAUCCUGUCGGCCGCCUUUAAGACCGCGGGGAGCCGUUCUCCUCAGAGCAGCACUCACCAAAACUGUAAACCGUGUCAACAUUUGCAAAGCACAAUUCAGCCGUUACUCCAUCAACAGAGGAGGAGCACCUCCAUUCUGAGAACCCGGGUCACGGGUCCUAGUUUACUGUGUAUUAAACUAUCAAAGUGGUAGAAAGAGUAGAGACAAACGAGAAGUGGGAGUUUAUACUGACAAAACAUUUGGAAAGCGUUCCCAUGAGGAGCAGCUCUCAUCCCUGUGCGUGUUCCACAUCCUCCGUGUCCAAGUGGGUUUUAUGGCUCGACAUAAUUAAAGAUUAUGUUCAUGGAGUUUAUCCUGGAAAAAAAAGGGAUUGGCCCCUUCUACUGUACACUCAGCAGUUUACAGUAGCAUGUGUUGUGUUGUGCGGCUGUCUAGUAAUGGAGACGUGUGGCAUUGUUGCCCAUACAACAUGUGUGUCUGCGUCCUCUUCUGGCCCGUGUCAUCCAUCUGUCUCCGGUGAACUCCGUAUGCCAUUAAGAGAGACUGCAGCCAUUAGUGUAACAGGAUCAGACCUGGAAGCCUCAGAGGCCGAACCCAGGCGGACAUGCGCCCCGGCAGCCGCCCCCCCGAAGCCCCCUCUGCAGCAGGAAUCCUGCGUGCACCCCCAAACGCUGCGUUCUGGGGAAGGCAAGACGCCUCCUCCGAGUGUUUUUCCUACCGCUCGCAGCCACAUCUCUUCCAGUAAGCUAUAAUUAUCACCAAACUGACGCAGAUUACUGGAGGAGGGAGCAGCAGCGGCGAGGGUUCGGGAACAAUGGCGGAGAAAAUGAUAGGCUUGAUAUUGAGGUCAUGUAAUAAAGGCGAAUAGAGGCUAAAUGAGUGGAUCCUCACAGACCCCCCAACCCUCGUGCCUGUCCCACGGAGACAGAGGAUGUCUGUCCUUAGUUGUUAUUAGCUUGUGUGGGUGGUAAUUAUAUUUGCCAUUGAAAAGCACUUGAAUGGUUUGAAAAGACAGUGCUCGGAAAGUGAGAGCCACGAUUGCCUGUCGCUGCUACGCUCCAAUAAUGAAAUUGCUGUCUUGUGUUCGCCUUUAGGGGCCAAGCAGGCGUGACCAAACGGGCCGCGGGCCACAUUUGGACAGCUCCGGGCCAAAUGGUGUUGUGUUUCCACACAGCUCGUGUAACAUGGGGGGGGGGGGGGGUUGGCCGUGAGGGGCAGAGAUGUUAUGAAAAAUGAUCUGAGAAGCAUUGUGUUGGUGCUGAAUGAAGGGCAUAUGGGGCUUUAGCGGCGGAUACACACACACACACUCACACACAAACUCACACACACAACCGUGUAUGACAAUAAAACCCAAACACAGACCAGCACAUGCUGAUUAAAAACAAACACGCUCUGUGGAGGCCGUGCCGAACGCUUGGAACCAGUCUGACGCAGCAACACCCCCAUCAUCUGUCCUAUCACCUCAUCAGUAGCGGUAUUUCUUCAUUUCCAUUGGUCACCUGAGGAGAGUGAUUGCAACACCUUCCAAAGGUUCAUCCACCUCCACUCCCUGCGUUACUAUGAGACGUCAACAUCUGAGUCAGAGCGACUAAAGGAGCCUUUUAUUAUGAAGCUUCACCUGGAACAUGUGUGCGCAGACACGCUCCUGCAGCCUCCCUGCGCUCCGUGCGUGUGAUUAGGUCCACACUUUCAAGUGCGGAGCCCGAGGUUAUUUUUACCCAGAUGCACCGGGGGCUGUUAAGUAACACAAGUCUCCCAGGAUCCACAGGUUCCGACGCUCCGCGAGGCGCAGCCGCCCGUUAAACCCCCACACCUGCAUCCUUUUUAUGCAGCCGAAAGCAGUCCAGCGUCGGUCGCGGGGGCGACCCUGUGAAAUACAGUCGCCUGCAGACGCUCACGCUCGGUUUGGGCCGGACCAGGAAAGCGGUGCUGGUGCCGUUAGUGAGGUGUUUGUCUGUCUGUGUCAGACCUGAGGUCUCUCCAGUCACAACAGCUAAAGGCUUUUUCCCGCAAGAUGUUCUGUAGUGACACCAGACGUCAUGUCAGGUCCAAAACCACAGGGCACCACCCUCAUCACAGCUCACAGUACGUGUAAGAACCAGUCAACAAGCGGAGAGGGCCCUGACGCCGUGCACGCCACAGAUUGAUGUGCUUGUAUUUAUGGGAAAAGGCUGCACUGAGUGUGAUUUUCAGCCCCGGCUGAUUCCUCAGCGCCCGCUGGCAGAGGCCCUGCUCUGUGAGUAAGCGUGGAGUCAUUCCGAUACUUGUUUAGAACAGGCACGUACAUAUAAAACGCUGAAAUCAGUGUUUUAGAACGUGUAAGAGAAAUAUCCCAAAUAGCGUUUUCUGAAUCCCGCCGUGGUGUAAACGCGGCAGCGGAGCCUGCGGAGCCUGCAGGCCACGGGGCUCCGUCGGAGGGAAAGUGGAUGUGUGCUGUCUGGCCUGCUGCAUAAUGAAGGAGGCCGACUCCAUGCGUCACGCCGAGCGUGCUCCCACUGACGGCAGCGCCGCUCUUAAAUGGGUUCUGGGUUUUAAUAGGUUUUAAAGGUUCAUUUGUACACGGAGGAACUGCACAGGGGGAAAAAAACGAGGGCGACAACGUUAUGGAAAGUUCGUUUGGCUUUUAGUGUCCGUACGUCUUCAUGAAUGUUUGCCAGUAGCUUGUGAAAUAAUACGUCAAAGCUGCUGUCGCCAUAAACGAUGCUGUGAGUGAGUAGAAUAAAAAAGAGGGAGGGAUCCAAAGACAAA